UGGUGAAUCUUAAUAACUUAACGAAUCGCAUGGCCUUGCGCCGGCGAUGGUUCAUUCAAAUUUCUGCCCUAUCAACUUUCGAUGGUAGGAUAGUGGCCUACCAUGGUGGCAACGGGUAACGGGGAAUUAGGGUUCGAUUCCGGAGAGGGAGCCUGAGAAACGGCUACCACAUCCAAGGAAGGCAGCAGGCGCGCAAAUUACCCAAUCCCGAUACGGGGAGGUAGUGACAAUAAAUACUGAUACGGGGCUCUUUUGGGUCUCGUAAUUGGAAUGAGAACAAUUUAAAUCCCUUAACGAGGAACAAUUGGAGGGGCAAGUCUGGUGCCAGCAGCCGCGGUAAUUCCAGCUCCAAUAGCGUAUAUUAAAGUUGUUGCAGUUAAAAAGCUCGUAGUUGAACCUUGGGUCUGGCUGGCCGGUCCGCCUCACCGCGAGUACUGGUCCGGCUGGACCUUUCCUUCUGGGGAACCCCAUGGCCUUCACUGGCUGUGGGGGGAACCAGGACUUUUACUGUGAAAAAAUUAGAGUGUUCAAAGCAGGCCUUUGCUCGAAUACAUUAGCAUGGAAUAAUAGAAUAGGACGUGCGGUUCUAUUUUGUUGGUUUCUAGGACCGCCGUAAUGAUUAAUAGGGAUAGUCGGGGGCGUCAGUAUUCAGCUGUCAGAGGUGAAAUUCUUGGAUUUGCUGAAGACUAACUACUGCGAAAGCAUUCGCCAAGGAUGUUUUCAUUAAUCAGGGAACGAAAGUUAGGGGAUCGAAGACAAUCAGAUACCGUC
rnacentral:rRNA from 1 species